GGUAUUGUAGCUCAGUGGUGGAGUGCUUGCCUUGCAUGUAUGAGGCACUAGAUUUGAUCUUCAACACCA
rnacentral:tRNA from 1 species